AUAAUCGGCUAUACAUUUUAAUUUUUAACUCUAUUUGUUGUUUUGUCUUUUUUUAUUUUUAUAUUUUUAUGUUAUUUUUGUAAAAUGUUUUAGUUUUUUUUAUUAUUUGAAGAGACAAUUAAAAUUUGGUUUUUGAACUGGAUUAGUACCCAGGUAAUCAAAAUUAAUUAAUUCGGGAGUAAAGUUUUAUUUAAACCGAAAAAAUAUUGACUGACUUUGGAUUUUUCUUUGGAAUAUGCGUAUGGAGAGCCCUCCUUUUUAGUUAACCCUAUUGGCACAUGUAUGAUUGUUUAGUUUUUAUUUUAUUUGUAAUGCUUUUAUGUUUUGUCAUUUAAAACAGAUAUAUAUUUGGCUUAUGGGUUUGUGAUCGUGUAUUACUAUUAUUAAUUUUUUUUGGAUUAUUUUUUUAUUUUUUUUUGAAAUUGGAAAAGAAAGUAAUUUUUUUUUUAUAUGUUAAUGAAUUUAAUAAACAAAGUGGUACAAA
rnacentral:rRNA from 1 species